GAUGAAGAACGCAGCGAAAUGCGAUAAGUAGUGUGAAUUGCAGAAUUCAGUGAAUCAUCGAAUCUUUGAACGCACAUUGCGCCCCUUGGUAUUCCAUGGGGCAUGCCUGUUCGAGCGUCAUUUGUACCCUCAAGCUCUGCUUGGUGUUGGGUGUUUGUCUCGCGUUGCGCGUAGACUCGCCUUAAAGCGAUUGGCAGCCGGCAUAUUGGCCUUGGAGCGCAGCACAUUUUGCGCAUCAAACCAAGAAUGUUGGCGUCCAACAAGCCAUACAUUUGCUCUUGACCUCGGAUCAGGUAGGGAUACCCGCUGAACUUAAGCAUAUCAAUAAGCGGAGGA
rnacentral:misc_RNA from 1 species